rnacentral:rRNA from 1 species
CCCAUGCCGAACACGGUAGUUAAGCUUCUCUGCGCCAAUGGUAGUUGGGGGCUUCCCCCUGCGAGAGUAGGUCGCUGCCGGGC